AGCUCAAAUUUAAAUCUGGCAGUGUUUGCUGUCCGAGUUGUACCUAGAGAAGUGUAACCUGUGCUGGACCAUGUACAAGUCUCCUGGAAUGGAGCAUCACAGAGGGUGAGAAUCCCGUCUUUGACAUGGACUACCAGUGCAUUGUGGUUGUGCUCUCAACGAGUCGAGUUGUUUGGGAAUGCAGCUCUAAAUGGGUGGUAAAUUCCAUCUAAAGCUAAAUAUUGGCGAGAGACCGAUAGCGAACAAGUACCGUGAGGGAAAGAUGAAAAGAACUUUGGAAAGAGAGUUAAACAGUAUGUGAAAUUGUUGAAAGGGAAACGUUUGAAGUCAGUCAUGUUGGCUGGGGAUCAACCUGACAUUUUGUUGGGUGUACUUCCUGGUGAACGGCCAACAUCAGUUUUGACUGCCAGAGAAAGUCCAAGGGAAUGUGGCACCUUUGGGUGUGUUAUAGCUCUUGGUCGUAUGUGGUGGUUGGGACUGAGGA
rnacentral:rRNA from 1 species